AAAUAAAUAGUUUCAAAUUUCUCAAAAAAUAUUUUAUUCUGAGGCAAAUUAUCACGAGCGCUACUAAUUAAUCCAAAAUGAAGUCAAUUCCAUUGAUGUGCAUCGUCUUUGUGAUGAUGUUGACAUCAUUCCCGGCUACGAUCAAUAGUGAUUGCCUUAAAACUAUUAAGUCGUGUGUGCGCGAAGUGCAAGACAAAGUUCCGAUAAAUAACCAGUGGAAGGCAAAAUGUUGUGCAGUUUGGAACGGGACAAUAACACCAGAAUUAUUAGCUUGUGUCUGUCGUGUAAGGAAAAAUCCUAUCGACAAUACGUUUUUUAACCGAGUUUUAAGAACUUGUCAAUUAGGAAAUGCACGAUUCAAGUGUUAACGAUGUUAACAUAAAAUUGUCAAAUCACCCUGUUCUAAAAAUCGACCGCCUAGCCGCAUAGGCGCUACGCGUCACUCUUCAGCCCCAAUUAAUGCCAAAUCGGUUAAAAAAAUCGGAUAUCAGAUUUUCUCCGCCUAGACCGCCUAAAUGACCGUCUAGCAGCUUAGGCGGCCGCCUAACCGCCUAAUCUAUUUUUUUAUUAUUUUUAAUAAUAUUUUUAUUUAUUUAUUUGAUCUAAAAUUUCAUAAAUAUCAUUUAUAUUCAUAAUUUUGAUGAAAAUUACACUAUAUUAAGUUUAUAUAUUCUAUUUAAUCCCCGAUUUUCUCUUUAGGCGCUAGGUCCAACCCGACUGCCCGACUAGCGCCUAGUGCGUUCCCGAACAGGGCAUUUAGUUAAGUUAUUGUUCAAUAAGGAGAGAGAAUUGGUAUUGUUUACGUUCAUGCUCGUGUGAAUUACGAUUCCAUGUUCUUUUAUUGUUUCUAUGUAUUUUCUUAUAUUUUGAAGUAAAUUUAAAACCAAAAAAGUUAUUUUCUACUCUAAAACAAUCGAGAUUUGUAAUAAGAAUUUUCAGUCUAUCUACUUAGGCACUUCUUCUUCGUAUCCCUG
rnacentral:lncRNA from 1 species